rnacentral:rRNA from 1 species
AUUGAACGCUGGCGGCAUGCUUUACACAUGCAAGUCGAACGGUAACAGGCCGCAAGGUGCUGACGAGUGGCGAACGGGUGCGUAAUGCAUCGGAACGUGCCCAGUCGUGGGGGAUAACUACUCGAAAGAGUAGCUAAUACCGCAUACGAUCUAUGGAUGAAAGCGGGGGACCGUAAGGCCUCGCGCGAUUGGAGCGGCCGAUGUCAGAUUAGGUAGUUGGUGGGGUAAAGGCUCACCAAGCCAACGAUCUGUAGCUGGUCUGAGAGGACGACCAGCCACACUGGGACUGAGACACGGCCCAGACUCCUACGGGAGGCAGCAGUGGGGAAUUUUGGACAAUGGGCGCAAGCCUGAUCCAGCAAUGCCGCGUGCAGGAAGAAGGCCUUCGGGUUGUAAACUGCUUUUGUACGGAACGAAACGGCUCUGGUUAAUACCCGGGGCUAAUGACGGUACCGUAAGAAUAAGCACCGGCUAAAUACGG